GUAGGUUAGUACGCGUCGAGGGCAACGGGCAUUUAAGCGCAGUGUUGUAUCGCGAGUACUAAACACCUCC
rnacentral:pre_miRNA from 1 species